rnacentral:rRNA from 1 species
UACGUAGGGUCCGAGCGUUGUUCGGAUUUACUGGGCGUAAAGCGUGUGUAGGCGGCUUCGCAAGUUGGAUGUGAAAUCCCACGGCUCAACCGUGGACGUGCAUCCAAAACUGCGUCGCUAGAGUCUCGGAGAGGAAGGUGGAAUGCUUGGUGUAGAGGUGAAAUUCGUAGAUAUCAAGCAGAACACCUGCGGCGAAGGCGGCCUUCUGGACGAUGACUGACGCUGAGACACGAAAGCGUGGGGAGCAAACAGG